rnacentral:rRNA from 1 species
CCUUGUACACACCGCCCGUCACACCAUGGGAGUUGGUCUUACCCGACGGCGCUGCGCCAACCGCAAGGAGGCAGGCGACCACGGUAGGGUCAGCGACCGGGGUG